UCAAUAGAAAAAAAAAGUUGCGAGCAAAAGAGAUUUGAGAAACUUACAUGAAUUAUAUGCAAACACUAUAUUGCUUGAUCUUUUGUUGAGAUCUAGCAAAUCAUCAACUUCAAAAAUCUGCAUCACUACCCGGACUCGAUAGUCCAGUGGUACCUGCCCCUCAACCUUGGGAGGUCAGCUGUUCGAUUCGCAGGCGGGAAGGCGUGCCCAGGGCCCUAACCGGUACAGGCGCAGGCUGGCGUCGGGCCUAGGUGGUGGGCUGGCCGAAGGCUGGUCAACACCUGGUUAAUAAAAAAAAAAAAAAAAAAAAAAAUCUGCAUCACAACUCUCUACCCCCAUUAAUUCUAGGUAAUUUUUAAGAUCUAUUUCAUCAUCAAAGAUGAAUGCUUGAAAAUUCUAGAACUCACAAAAUGCUUUUAGAAAAGGUCGAACGAUAUUGAAAUCACACCAAUAGAUCAAUAUUAAUCCAUCAACGCACUUAAAGAAAUCUGAUUCUCAUGAGAAAUAAUUAUGCGCAUAAUAAGAAUUAAAAAUAAACCACAACUUUAUCUGAUGAACAUAAAAUUAUAUUAUACAAUAGUAGACUUGACCAGGCUAGAUGAUUCUUCUAAUAUUUAAUGUGCAAAGUAAUUAGUUCUUUUUUAGUAAAAAGUAAACCACAACUUGGAUCUGACUUUCGCCAGUCAAGUAAUAAUAUUACUACAUUUUUAAUUUAAUAUUAAUAGUUUAUUAUAAUAUGUCUCCUAGCAACAUAAUUAUUUAGCUAAUUCAACUAAAUAUUAUAAUCGUAAAAUGUACUAAAGAGGAAAUAAUUUCAUUUAGAAAGAAUGCACACUACAAGAAAAAAUGGUAUUGAUAGCACACCGGGAUAGCGCUGAUUUUCAAACUGCUAUGAUAGAUAAUUUUUUUGAUUCCAGAACAUAUUCAUAGCAUUAACUUAAUGCUUUCGUGAAAAAUUAGAACGCGGGAAUAGAAAAAUACGUGUGUCGCUUAUACUCAGUGAAAUUUCGAGAACCGCCAAAUACUAAAUUGUUUCCCUCUUUAUUGUAACACUUAGGCUACAUAAUGAAAAAAAAAAUAGUCUUCACACAGAAGGUGGAAAAAAAAUUAGAGUCCCCAACAGAACUCUCUCUUGGGAAAAACCUAAUCUCGUCACCGCACCCUAUCUCCCACCGAGUAAACUCUCCGUCGACACCUUGAAGCUCGAUUUCGUGAUCUGUAAACGGUAAUCGAAUCGAAGGUAGGCAUACGUAUGCGUUGUCAAUUUCCUUUCUUUCCUAGGGCCUGAGUCUGAGACAGAAGAGAGAAGAGACGAGACGAAACAGAGAUAGAGAGGAGACAGAGCUUGGGUCGUGUCUUGCUUCGUCUACGAUUACCAGAGCUUGGGUUGGGUCGGAUCUUGCUUUGUCUCCGCUGUUUUUGGCUCUGCUUCAUAGAUCCGCGUUGUUCGAGCUCUAUCGCCGCUUGUUCCGGAGCUUAAGUCGAGCGAGAAGAGAAGACAGAAGAUGGAGUUGGUCGCAGAAGAUGGAGUUGGUCCCAGCGUGUCGGUGAGUCUCCAGAGAAGCGUGGUUUCACUCACCUCUUCCCCAUUCAGGGCUGUGUUGGUUCAUGCACUGCAAGGACAAGACAUCAUAGCUCGUGCAAAGAAAUGAACUGGAAAUACUUUAGCUUUCGGUAUCCUUAUUAUCAAACGCCUCACAGAACAAGAUGGAGACUACUCUGCUUUCAGUGACCAGAUGCUUGCUGUUGGGUUUGAGGAGGCUGUGAAGUCGAUUCUUGAGAAUCUCCCACAGAAGAGACAAAGCAUGCUUUUCUCAUAAACUAUGCCUUCUUGGGUGAAGAAGUUGGCGAGGAAGUACCUUGACAAUCCCCUGAAUAUCUGUCUGGUUGGAGACCAAGAUGAGAAGCUCGCAGAAGGGAUAAAACUCUAUGCAAUCUCAGCCAAAUCAAAUAAAUAAACGCACUAUUCGAAGAUGAUUACGGCUUUUGAACCAUUGCGUUUGCUGAUAAGCUUUUCGCUGGAAAACAAUGGCGGGUUGGCAGUGGAAUAUACAGUUGAUUCGUUAAGUUGGGAGAAGAGUGAAGACCAAUAACAUCUCAUGUCUUCAAGGUGACAACUUUAUGUAUAAGCUCACUGAGUGUACAGUUGCUUCUAUUUUUUUUUUGUCUUUCCAGUAUCUCACUUUGAUUAUACAUAAAGAAAACUAACUAUUUUUUGGUUGCUAAUGUCUUCACUUUUGCACUUUUGCUGCCUGGUGGCUAAUGUCGUCACGUACGAGUGCAGUGGAGCAUUUAAUCUUGUUUAAGGUUCAGACAUUGGAGCAUUUCAUCUUCAUUGUUUAUUUGGUUACGUCACAAACGUUUAGCCUGGAUGCAUAUCUAUGCUUGCUUCGUCUCUAUUAGGUGUUCUAAUCGUUUCUCUAUGUGAUAUGAUACUGGCUUAUGUUGAGGCUGAGAUAUCCACUCUAUUGCUUCCAGUUGCAGGUUCUUGGAAUACCAACUCGGAUAUUGUUAAGGUGUAUUCCCUACACUUUCUUUGAGAGAUACAGGCUAAGGCCAAGAAGGAAAAAUGAGAACUCAAGGUUUUGAUUUAGUUCUCAUGUUUUCUAUAGUCCUUUUUAUUUGUAGUUCUGAUUUUGUAAUGAUGUCCGUGUAAGGUUUGAUGAAAAUGUAUACAUGUUUGUGGUAUGCAAGUACAUUUUGGUUUUAUUAAUGAAAUAUUAAUUGAAUAUUAA